rnacentral:rRNA from 1 species
UACGAAGGGGGCUAGCGUUGCUCGGAAUGACUGGGCGUAAAGGGCGCGUAGGCGGUUUGCACAGUCAGAUGUGAAAUUCCUGGGCUCAACCUGGGGGGCUGCAUUUGAUACGUGUAGACUUGAGUGGGGAAGAGGGUCGUGGAAUUCCCAGUGUAGAGGUGAAAUUCGUAGAUAUUGGGAAGAACACCGGUGGCGAAGGCGGCGACCUGGUCCUUGACUGACGCUGAGGCGCGAAAGCGUGGGGAGCAAACAGG